rnacentral:siRNA from 1 species
UUGUGGCAUCCUAAUAGCAU